CCCAGACUCCUACGGGAGGCAGCAGUGGGGAAUAUUGCACAAUGGGGGGAACCCUGAUGCAGCGACGCCGCGUGGGUGAAGGAGUACUUCGGUACGUAAAGCCCUAUCAGCAGGAAAGAAAAUGACGGUACCUGACUAAGAAGCCCCGGCUAACUACGUGCCAGCAGCCGCGGUAAUACGUAGGGGGCAAGCGUUAUCCGGAUUUACUGGGUGUAAAGGGAGCGUAGACGGCAGUGCAAGUCCGGAGUGAAAGCCCGGGGCUCAACCCUGGGACUGCUCUGGAAACUGUAAAGCUGGAGUGCGGGAGGGGCAGGCGGAAUUCCUGGUGUAGCGGUGAAAUGCGUAGAUAUCAGGAGGAACACCGGCGGCGAAGGCGGCCUGCUGGACCGUGACUGACGUUGAGGCUCGAGAGCGUGGGGAGCAAACAGGAUUAGAUACCCCUGUAGAC
rnacentral:rRNA from 1 species